rnacentral:lncRNA from 1 species
CAUGGUUAAUGCUUUUUAAAAUUAAACUUUGCUUAAGAGGAUCAUAACACAAGAAAAUGAAUAACCAUUUUCACAAUGCACCUCUUCUUUGUAACAUCACCUAACCACAAAAUUUACAAACAAAUUUCUUCUCUCAAGUAGAAGAAUGUUGUUGCUGCUGCAGCUGCUGAGUGUUCUGCAAUUCAAGCUCCUUUUGACGUAGCAACAAAACCAUUCUAUCAAUUUCCAAACUCUUCCUUUCAUUUUCAAGUUUUUGUCUCUCCAUUUCCCUUUCUUUGUUACUACUAAAUUUCACCCAUUUCAACCUUUGUUUUUCAAUCUCAAAUGCUUCCACAUGAUAGUUUACCUGUUCUUCUCCUAAUUGCACCACCUUCUUCUUCAUCCAUUGCUUUUUCUCCCAACAACUCUUCACUCCAUCUUGCAACACACUCAUCACUUCACUACUCAACUGUUGCAUCACUUGUGAUGGCAAUGAUGAAACUUUUCUUGAUUUUUUCCUUAAGUGAUCAAUAUUUUCAUCUUCUUCAUGUCCCUUUGAACCAUAACCACCACCUUCUCCUGACUCUUCUUCUUCCUCUUCAGAAUCAUCCUCCCAUUCAUCGUCUUCGUCUUCAUCCUCUUCCUCUUCUCCUCCUCCUCCAUUUCUACCUUUCAGUUUCAACAUUCCUAAACUCCCUACCCCAUUUGAUGAAUGCAAACAUUGUUGUUGCUGCUGCUGCUGCUGUUGUUGCUGUUGUUGUGGAUGAUGAUGCUGUUGUGGUUGAGCCUCAGUUGAGGAU